rnacentral:rRNA from 1 species
AGCGAACGCUGGCGGCAGGCCUAACACAUGCAAGUCGAACGAAGUCUUCGGACUUAGUGGCGGACGGGUGAGUAACACGUGGGAACGUGCCUUUAGGUUCGGAAUAACUCAGGGAAACUUGUGCUAAUACCGAAUGUGCCCUUCGGGGGAAAGAUUUAUCGCCUUUAGAGCGGCCCGCGUCUGAUUAGCUAGUUGGUGAGGUAAAGGCUCACCAAGGCGACGAUCAGUAGCUGGUCUGAGAGGAUGAUCAGCCACAUUGGGACUGAGGCACGGCCCAAACUCGUACGGGAGGCAGCAGUGGGGAAUCUUGCGCAAUGGGCGAAAGCCUGACGCAGCCAUGCCGCGUGAAUGAUGAAGGUCUUAGGAUUGUAAAAUUCUUUCACCGGGGACGAUAAUGACGGUACCCGGAGAAGAAGCCCCGGCUAACUUCGUGCCAGCCGCCGCGGUAAUAC